UGUGGUGACCUCACCCAGUGAUAGAAGGGGUAGUGAGGCACGUAUCGUGUUGUUGCCAUCAAGGGUAAAAAGAUGGAGUUUUCAUCAUUGGUUUGAGAUUAUCCCUCUACAUCUUGUCAUCUUGCUUAAAGCGUUACUCUGUUUGUUAUGAACUCAAUACACUAGAUGCAUGCUAGAUAGCGGUCGAUGUGUGGACUAAUAGUAGUAGAUGCAGAAAG
rnacentral:lncRNA from 1 species